rnacentral:rRNA from 1 species
CAUCAGCCACGGUAAAACAGAGGGUGCGAGCGUUAAUCGGAUUUACUGGGCGUAAAGCGUGCGUAGGCGGCUUCUUAAGUCGGAUGUGAAAUCCCUGAGCUUAACUUAGGAAUUGCAUUCGAUACUGGGAAGCUAGAGUAUGGGAGAGGAUGGUAGAAUUCCAGGUGUAGCGGUGAAAUGCGUAGAGAUCUGGAGGAAUACCGAUGGCGAAGGCAGCCAUCUGGCCUAAUACUGACGCUGAGGUACGAAAGCAUGGGGAGCAAACAGGAUUAGAUACCCCAGUAGUCACUGUCUCUUAUAC